rnacentral:rRNA from 1 species
GACGAACGCUGGCGGCGUGCUUAACACAUGCAAGUCGAACGGAAAGGCCUCUUUCGGGGGGUACUCGAGUGGCGAACGGGUGAGUAACACGUGAGUAACCUGCCCUUGACUUUGGGAUAACUUCAGGAAACUGGGGCUAAUACCGGAUAGGAGCUCCUGCUGCAUGGUGGGGGUUGGAGAGUUUCGGCGGUUGGGGAUGGACUCGCGGCUUAUCAGCUUGUUGGUGGGGUAGUGGCUUACCAAGGCGUUGACGGGUAGCCGGCCUGUGAGGGUGACCGGCCACCUUGGGACUGAGAGACGGCCCAGACGCCGACGGGAGGCAGCAGGGGGGAAGAUUGAACAAUGGGUGGAAGCCUGAUGCAGCAACGCCGUGUGCGGGAUGACGGCCUUAGGGUUGUAAACCGCUUUCGCUCAUGACGAAGCUUUGUGUGACGGUAGUGGGUAAAGAAGCACCGGCUAACUACGUG